rnacentral:lncRNA from 1 species
CUUCCUACAAUUUUUCUGUACAAACUUUCAUCUGCUGCUUCACUUCCAUCCUCUCUUUGCAAUUUAUCAGUGGCAACUAAUGGAGUGCUCACUGACUUGCAAUCUUUGAGUCCAAACUUAUCCAAGAGAGUGAUAGCAUACUUCUUUUGAUGGAUGAAGAUGCUCCUUUCAGUUUGUGUUACUCCUAUACCAAGAAAAUGGUGGAGUAAACCCAAGUCAGACAUUUCAUACUUGCACAUCAUCUCAGCCUUGAAUUCUUUCACCAUUUCAUCACUACUUCUAGUAUACACUAUGUCAUCUACAUAGAUUGACACGAUUAAUGUUCCUACACCUUCCUUGGUUUUCACAUAGAAAGUUGCUUCACUUGGACUUCUGUGAAAACCACACUGAUAUAAGUAAGUGUCGAUUUCACUGUACCAGGCCCUUGGAGCCUGCUUUAGUCCAUAGAGAGCUUUUCUUAAUAUAUACACCUUAUCCUCAGCUCCUUUAAUCACAAAACCUUCAGGUGGAUCCAUAUAGACUUCUUCUUCAAGGACACCAUUUAAGAAA